rnacentral:rRNA from 1 species
GUUAAGGGUGUGUGGUGGAUGCCUCGACACUAAACGGCGAUGAAGGACGUGGCGUAGCUGCGAUAAGCCUCGGGGAGGUGCGUAGCAACCUGUGAUCCGGGGAUCUCCGAAUGGGGCAACCCAACUGCGUAAACCGCAGUUAUCUGCCAAUCUCAAGUUGGCAGAGGCAAACCCGCUGAAGUGAAACAUCUCAGUAAGCGGAGGAAAAGAGAACAAUCGUUAUUCCCCCAGUAGCGGCGAGCGAAAAGGGAAGAGCCCAAACCUUCUUUGUACUUUUUAGUACAAAGAAGGGGUUGUAAGGUGUAUACGCUGUCGCUCUCGCGGAUUGGUGCUAAAGCUUGGCAUCAAUCCGCUUGUGGCGAUAAGGGGAAGUUACAAAUUCUUUUGUUAGCCGAAUCUGCUGGGAAGCAGAACCAAAGAGGGUGAAAGUCCCGUAGGCGAAAACAAAAGAACUUCCUAGUAUACAUCCUUGAGUACCUCGGGGAACGAACGCCCUGAGGGAAUCUUCCUGAACUAUCAGGAAAGGCUAAAUACGUUUAGUGAUCGAUAGUGAACUAGUACCGUGAGGGAAAGGUGAAAAGCAGGCCGGUGAGGCCGGUGAAAUAGAACCUGAAACCACACACCUACAAGGAACCGGAGCCCGCAAGGGUGACGGUGUGCCUAUUGAAGAAUGAGCCAACGAGUUUAUGUGCAUCGCGUGUCUAAGCUCUACGGAGCGGAGGCAGAGCGAAAGCGAGUCUUAAAAGGGCGCCCAUCUUGCUUUUAGCAAGAUGACGCGGUGCGCAUAAGACCCGAAGCCAGGUGAGCUUACCUUGGGCAGGGUGAAUCUUGUCGAAAGACAAGAGGAGGCCCGAACCGGUGGGUUGUGCAAAACCUUCGGAUGACCUGAGGUAAGGAGUGAAAAGCUAAUCGAACCUGGUAAUAGCUGGUUCUCUCCGAAACAGCUUUCGGGCUGGCGUCCGGGAAAAACGUUAGAGGGGUAGAGCCACUGGUUGAGAAGUAAAGGGCGAAAGCUCGGCUUCUCAGUCAAACUCCGAAUACUCUAACGUAAAGCUCGGGCAGUUAGACUGUGGGGGCUAAGCUCCAUAGUCGCGAGGGGAACAGCCCAGAUCGUCGUCUAAGGUCCCUAAAUGUGUGCUAAGUGUGAAAGGUAGUGGUCUGCCAGAGACAGGUAGGAGGUUGGCUUAGAGGUAGCCAUCCUUUAAAGAGUGUGUAACAACUCACUACUAGAUGGCAGGCUGCGCCGAAAAUUUACCGGGGCUAAGCACACUACCGAAGACACGACUCAUCUUGUCAGAGACAAGAUCGCGGAAAGACACAGGCUUAACGCAGACUAACGCGGAACAAAUUUUUUAUUUUUCUGUGUGGUUUAGCGUUAGGUCGGCGUAAGUCAGCGUUCUUGCCUUUGAUGAGAUGGGGGUAGGAGAGCAUUCCAAACAGCGAUGAAGCUCUAGCCGCGAGGCGGAGUGGAGCGUUUGGAAGAGAAAAUGUUGGCAUGAGUAACCACAAGUCCGAUGCGAACUCGGACCCCCGAAAAUCCAAGGUUUCCUUCGCAAUGGAAAUCAGCGAAGGGUUAGGCGGGACCUAAGGCAAUGGCGAAAGCCGAAGCUGAUGGACAGCCGGUUAAUAUUCCGGCCCCCUAAGUUCUUCCCGAUGGAGUGACGAAGUUGAGUAGAGGGAGCGCCUUAAUGGUUUGGCGUUCUUGAUCGAGGACGUGUUCUUGGGAAAUCCGGAACACUGCCUUCAAUGGCGAGUCCCAGAGUAGAGACGACCCGGCGUUUAUCAAAGGGAAGUCCCUCGAGCCAGCUUCCGAGAAAAACUUCUAAGGAUAAAGAACUUAGGCCCGUACCGUAAACCGACACUGGUGGGUGAGGCGAGAAGCCUAAGGGGAACGAGUGAGUCAUCCUCAAGGAACUCGGCAAAAAAGCGGCCGUAACUUCGGGAUAAGGCCUGCCUUGCGUAAGCAAGGCCGCAGCUAAAGUCUCUCUGGCGACUGUUUACUAAAAACACAGCUCCCUGCGAACUCGUAAGAGGAUGUAUAGGGGGUGACGCCUGACCGAUGCGAGAAGGUUAAAGCUGCCGGUCGUAAGAGAACGCAAGUUGUCUUACGGCUGAGCGGCCGAAGCCCUCGUCAAUGUCAGCGGUAACUAUAGGAUAACGGUCUGUAGUUAUAAAAUCCGGCUAUAUGCGGGAAAGUCUCGUUGAAGCAAAGUACUCGGCACGACUAGUCAUCGUGUCAGUAAAAAUCUUUGUGGAGAGACAAUCCGCAGGAAAGACAAUUUACGAAUCACAAGUAACCACAACUAUGAAUCAGACAACUUCAAAUCAAUGGCUAAAGAAAGUUCCUCAGGAAGUGGGUUGGUAUCUGGCAGGCUUUGUUGAUGGAGAGGGAAGCUUCAAUGUUUCUCUUAAAAAAGUUUCUGAUUAUCAACUAAAAUGGAAAGUCGAACCAAGUUUUAAUGUCUCUCAGCGAGACAUAAGCAAUCUAAUCCUUCUGAAAAAAUCAUUAGGAACCGGAAGAUUAAGGAAAAGAAAGGAUGGAGUAGCUUACUUUGAGGUUAGGAAUUACAAAAUGCUUUACGAAAGAGUAAUUCCUUUCUUUGAGAAGUUUUCAUUCCGUUCCCGAUUGAAAGUGAGAAAUUUCUCUAUCUUUAAAAAAAUAGUUAAGCUUAUGGCUCGCGGAGAGCAUUUAACAGAAGAAGGGUUUAAAAAAAUUCUCCUUCUUCGUGAAAAAUUAAACGAAGGAAAAGGGCGAACAAGAAAAUAUUCAUUAACCGACUAUCUCGAUUCGUAAAUUGAAUCCUCAGAGACUAUACGCCGGAUCCCGCAAUAUGUGGGAAUGAUAUAGUCCGACCUCACGGGCGACCGUGAGAAGCUCCAAGGUAAUGGAGCGAUAACACAAGUGAACCGUUCUAAGGUAGCGCAAUUCCUUUCCGGGUAAGUUCCGGAGCGCACGAAUGGCGUAACGACUGGAGAACUGUCUCGAGGAUGAGCUCGGUGAAAAUGCGAUUCCCGUGAAGACGCGGGGUACCUGCAGCGGGACGAAAAGACCCCAGGAGCUUUACUGCAGCUUGAUAUUGGCUUUAGAGCUUGGAUGCGUAGCGUAGUGGGGAGGCUUUGAAGUCCACCUUUCGGGGUGGAUGGAGCCGCCAAUGAAACACCCACCUUCCAAGUUUUAGAGUCUAACCUUGACGGCAAAAACGUCAGGGGACAGUGUCUGGCGGGCAGUUUCAAUGGGGCGUUGUCCUCCUAAAGAGUAACGGAGGAGUUUAUAAGGUCGGCUUAGCCCGGAUGGAAAUCGGGCUGGACGUGUAAAGGCACAAGCCGGCUUGACGGCAAGACUGACAAGUCGCGCCGAUGCGAAAGCAGAACUUAGUGACCCGACGGCAAUGUCAUCUUGUUUUAUUCAAGACAAGAUGACUCCUUAUAGGAAGGCCGGAGACAACGGAUAAAAGCUACCCUGGGGAUAACAGGCUGGUGAGGUCCGAGAGUCCACAUCGACGACCUCGCUCGGCACCUCGAUGUCGGCUCACCACAGCGCGGGGGUGGAGAAGCUCCCAAGCGUUUGGCUGUUCGCCAAUUAAAGUGGUACGCGAGCUGGGUUUAGACCGUCGUGAGACAGGUUGGUCUCUAUCUGCUGCAGGCGUUGGAUGCUUGAGGGGAGUUGGCCCUAGUACGAGAGGACCGGGCUGAACGAACCUCUGGUCUACCGGCUUUGGCACCAGCUGAAGCGCCGGGUAGCUAUGUUCGGAAGGGAUAAGCGCUGAAAGCAUCUAAGCGCGAAGCCCACCCCAAGAUUAGGCAUCCUAGGGCGGUCGAAGAUGACGACCUUGAUAGGCUCCAGGUGUAAGAUCCGUAAGGAUUUUAGCCGAGGAGUACUAAUAGCCCGAAUUA